ACUUAAAUUGAAGAGUUUGAUCAUGGCUCAGAUUGAACGCUGGCGGCAGGCCUAACACAUGCAAGUCGAGCGGCAGCGGGAAAGUAGCUUGCUACUUUUGCCGGCGAGCGGCGGACGGGUGAGUAAUG
rnacentral:rRNA from 1 species